rnacentral:tRNA from 1 species
CGGCCCGCAUGGUCGACGCGCAGGCGCCGGGCCUCGCGGGCCGGGUGCGCGAGCUCGGCGCGAUCCCGGGUUCGGGUCCCGGCUGGCCGG